AUUGAACGCUGGCGGAAUGCUUUACACAUGCAAGUCGAACGGCAGCACGGGGGCAACCCUGGUGGCGAGUGGCGAACGGGUGAGUAAUACAUCGGAACGUGCCCAGUCGUGGGGGAUAACGUAGCGAAAGCUACGCUAAUACCGCAUACGAACUCAGGUUGAAAGCGGGGGAUCGCAAGACCUCGCGCGAUUGGAGCGGCCGAUGGCAGAUUAGGUAGUUGGUGGGGUAAAGGCCUACCAAGCCGACGAUCCGUAGCUGGUCUGAGAGGACGACCAUCCACACUAGGACAGAGACACGGCCCAGACGCCUACGGGAAGCAGCAGGGGGGAAUUUUGGACAAUGGGCGCAAGCCUGAUCCAGCCAUUCCGCGUGCAGGAUGAAGGCCCUCGGGUUGUAAACUGCUUUUGUACGGAACGAAACGGUCCUGGUUAAUACCCGGGGCUAAUGACGGUACCGUAAGAAUAAGCACCGGCUAACUACGUGCCAGCCGCCGCGGUAAUAC
rnacentral:rRNA from 1 species